rnacentral:rRNA from 1 species
CACGUAGGCACCAAGCGUUGUCCGGAUUUAUUGGGCGUAAAGAGCUCGUAGGCGGUUCGGUAAGUCGGGUGUGAAAACUUUGGGCUUAACCCAAAGCGUGCACUUGAUACUGCCAUGACUAGAGUUCGGUAGGGGAGUGGGGAAUUCCUAGUGUAGCGGUGAAAUGCGCAGAUAUUAGGAGGAACACCGGUGGCGAAGGCGCCACUCUGGGCCGAAACUGACGCUGAGGAGCGAAAGCGUGGGUAGCAAACAGG